GCUGGAGUAGCUCAGCUGGGAGAGCGUUAGACUGAAGAUCUAAAGGUCCCUGAAUCAAUCCCGGGCUUCGGCA
rnacentral:tRNA from 2 species